rnacentral:rRNA from 1 species
CUACGGGCUGCUGCAGUGAGGAAUAUUGCGCAAUGGGGGAAACCCUGACGCAGCGACGCCGCGUGGAUGAUGAAGGCCUUAGGGUCGUAAAAUCCUGUCAGGUGGGAAGAAGUGGAUAUAGAUUAAUACUCUAUUUCUUUGACGGUACCACCAAAGGAAGCACCGGCCAACUCCGUGCCGGCAGCCGCGGUAAUACGGAGGGUGCAAACGUUGUUCGGAAUUACUGGGCGUAAAGCGCGCGUAGGCGGUUUGUUAAGUCAGAUGUGAAAGUCCAUGGCUCAACUAGGGAAGUGCAUUUGAAACUGGCAGACUUGAGUACUGGAGGGGGUGAUGGAAUUCCCGGUGUAGAGGUGAAAUUCGUAGAUAUCGGGAGGAAUACCGGUGGCGAAGGCGAUCACCUGGCCAGAUACUGACGCUGAGGUGCGAAAGCGUGGGGAGCAAACAGGAUUAGAUACCCUAGUAGUC